UGCAGUCGACGGUGCCAGAGAGCUUGCUCUCGGGUGACGAGCGGCGGACGGGUGAGUAAUGUCUGGGAAACUGCCUGAUGGAGGGGGAUAACUACUGGAAACGGUAGCUAAUACCGCAUAAUGUCGCAAGACCAAAGUGGGGGACCUUCGGGCCUCAUGCCAUCAGAUGUGCCCAGAUGGGAUUAGCUAGUAGGUGGGGUAACGGCUCACCUAGGCGACGAUCCCUAGCUGGUCUGAGAGGAUGACCAGCCACACUGGAACUGAGACACGGUCCAGACUACUACGGGAGGCAGCAGUGGGGAAUAUUGCACAAUGGGCGCAAGCCUGAUGCAGCCAUGCCGCGUGUUUGAAGAAGGCCUUCGGGUUGUAAAGCACUUUCAGCGGGGGAGGAAGGCGCUAAGGUUAAUAACCUUGGCGAUUGACGUUACCCGCAGAAGAAGCACCGGCUAACUCCGUGCCAGCAGCCGCGGUAAUACGGAGGGUGCAAGCGUUAAUCGGAAUUACUGGGCGUAAAGCGCACGCAGGCGGUCUGUCAAGUCGGAUGUGAAAUCCCCGGGCUCCAACCUGGGAACUGCAUUCGAAACUGGCAGGCUAGAGUCUUGUAGAGGGGGGUAGAAAUUCCAGGUGUAGCGGUGAAAUGCGUAGAGAUCUGGGGGAAAUACCGGUGGCGAAGGCGGCCCCCCUGCACAAAGACUGACGCUCAGGUGCGAAAGCUUUGGGGAGCCAACCAGGAUUAGAUACCCCUGGUAGUCCACGCCGUAAACGAUGUCUAUUUGGAGGUUGUGCCCUUGAGGCGUGGCUUUCGGAGCUAACGCCUUUAAAUCGACCGCCUGGGGAGUACGGCCGCCAGGUUAAAACUCAAAUGAAUUGACGGGGGCGCACAAGCGGUGGAGCAUGUGGUUUAAUUCGAUGCAACGGAAGAACCUUACCUGGUCUUGACUUCCACAGAA
rnacentral:rRNA from 1 species